rnacentral:rRNA from 17 species
GUCAAGUGACUAAGCGUGCACGGUGGAUGCCUAGGCAGUCAGAGGCGAUGAAGGACGUUGUAACCUGCGAUAAGGUUCGGGGAGCUGGUAAACGAGCUUUGAUCCGAACAUUUCCGAAUGGGGAAACCCACCUAUUUAUAGGUAUCUUUUGCGUGAAUACAUAGCGCAUUAGAGGCGAACCCGGGGAACUGAAACAUCUAAGUACCCGGAGGAAAAGAAAUCAACCGAGAUUUCCUGAGUAGCGGCGAGCGAAAGGGAAACAGCCGAUUCAGUAUGAUGUAGUGGAAGCUUCUGGAAAGUAGCGCAAUAAAGGGUGAUAGCCCCGUACACGAAGCAUUAUAUUGGACACAUUAAGUAGGUCGGAGCACGAGAAACUUUGACUGAAGAUAGGGGGACCAUCCUCUAAGGCUAAAUACUCCCAAUUGACCGAUAGUGAACCAGUACCGUGAGGGAAAGGCGAAAAGAACCCCUGUGAGGGGAGUGAAAUAGAACCUGAAACCGUAUACGUACAAGCAGUAGGAGCAGACUUGUUCUGUGACUGCGUACCUUUUGUAUAAUGGGUCAACGACUUAUAUUUUGUAGCAAGGUUAACCGAAUAGGGGAGCCGUAGGGAAACCGAGUCUUAACUGGGCGAAUUAGUUGCAAGGUAUAGACCCGAAACCCGGUGAUCUAGCCAUGGGCAGGUUGAAGGUUGAGUAACAUCAACUGGAGGACCGAACCCACUAACGUUGAAAAGUUAGGGGAUGACCUGUGGCUAGGAGUGAAAGGCUAAUCAAACCGGGAGAUAGCUGGUUCUCCCCGAAAUCUAUUUAGGUAGAGCCUCGGACGAAUACUUACGGGGGUAGAGCACUGUUUGGGCUAGGGGGCCAUCCCGGCUUACCAACCCCAUGCAAACUCCGAAUACCGUAAAGUAAUAUCCGGGAGACACACGGCGGGUGCUAACGUCCGUCGUGGAAAGGGAAACAACCCAGACCGUCAGCUAAGGUCCCAAAGUUUAUGCUAAGUGGGAAACGAUGUGGGAAGGCUUAGACAGCUAGGAGGUUGGCUUAGAAGCAGCCACCCUUUAAAGAAAGCGUAAUAGCUCACUAGUCGAGUCGGCCCGCGCGGAAGAUAUAACGGGGCUAAGCAUAACACCGAAGCUACGGAUGCACUUUGUGCAUGGUAGAGGAGCGUUCUGUAAGUGGUUGAAGCGAAAGCCGUAAGGCAUCGUGGACAUAUCAGAAGUGCGAAUGCUGACAUGAGUAACGAUAAGGGAGGUGAAAACCCUCCCCGCCGGAAGACCAAGGGUUCCUGUCCAACGCUUUUCGUGGCAGGGUGAGUCGGCCCCUAAGGAGAGGCUGAAGAGCGUAUCCGAUGGGAAACAGGUUAAUAUUCCUGUACUGAUUAUAACUGCGAUGGGGUGACGGAGUAGGCUAGACUAGCACGGCGUUGGUUGUCCGUGUUUAAGGUUGUAGGCUAAGGACUUAGGUAAAUCCGGGUCCUUGUUAGGCUGAGAACCGAUGACGAGUUCCUUUAUGGAAUGAAGUAGUUGAUGCCAUGCUUCCAGGAAAAACCUCUAAGCUUCAGGUUAUAAGUAACCGUACCCCAAACCGACACAGGUGGUCAGGUAGAGAAUACUAAGGCGUAUGAGAAAACUCGGGUGAAGGAACUAGGCAAAAUGGCACCGUAACUUCGGGAGAAGGUGCGCCGGUUUUGGUGAUGGGACUUGCUCCCUAAGCUGAGGCCGGUCGAAGAUACCAGGUGGCUGCGACUGUUUAUUAAAAACAUAGCACUCUGCAAACUCGAAAGAGGACGUAUAGGGUGUGACGCCUGCCCGGUGCCGGAAGGUUAAUUGAUGGGGUUAGCGCUUGCGCGAAGCUCUUGAUCGAAGCCCCGGUAAACGGCGGCCGUAACUAUAACGGUCCUAAGGUAGCGAAAUUCC